GACGAACGCUGGCGGCGUGCUUAACACAUGCAAGUCGAGCGGAAAGGCCCUUCGGGGUACUCGAGCGGCGAACGGGUGAGUAACACGUGAGUAACCUGCCCCAGACUUUGGGAUAACCCUCGGAAACGGGGGCUAAUACCGGAUACGACACAGCUUCGCAUGGGGUCUGUGUGGAAAGUUUUUCGGUUUGGGAUGGGCUCGCGGCCUAUCAGCUUGUUGGUGGGGUGAUGGCCUACCAAGGCGACGACGGGUAGCCGGCCUGAGAGGGCGACCGGCCACACUGGGGCUGAGACACGGCCCAGACUCCUACGGGAGGCAGCAGUGGGGAAUAUUGCACAAUGGGCGGAAGCCUGAUGCAGCGACGCCGCGUGAGGGAUGACGGCCUUCGGGUUGUAAACCUCUUUCAGCAGGGACGAAGCGUAAGUGACGGUACCUGCAGAAGAAGCGCCGGCCAACUACGUG
rnacentral:rRNA from 1 species